CUACGGGGCGCUCCAGUAAGGAAUAUUGCGCAAUGGAGGACCCUCUGCCGCAGGCAUGCCGCGUGCAGGCCUGAAGGCCUUAUGGGUCGUAAACUGCUUUUAUUUAGGAAUAACCUUUCGGACGGGGAAGAGACUGAAGGUACUAAAUGAAUAAGCACCGGCUAACUCUGUGCCAGCAGCCGCGGUAAUGCGGAGGGUGCAAGCGUUAUUCGGAUUUAUUGGGUUUAAAGGGUGCGCAGGCGGACUAUUAAGUCAGAGGUGAAAUCCCGGAGCUCAACUUCGGAACUGCCUUUGAUACUGGUAGUCUUGAAUACGGUUGAAGUAGGCGGAAUGUAGCAUGUAGCGGUGAAAUGCAUAGAGAUGCUACAGAACACCGAUCGCGAAGGCAGCUUACUAAGCCGAUAUUGACGCUCAGGCACGAAAGCGUGGGGAGCUAACAGGAUUAGAUACCCGGGUAGUC
rnacentral:rRNA from 1 species